AACGAACGCUGGCGGCAUGCCUAAUACAUGCAAGUCGAACGAUCUCUUCGGAGAUAGUGGCGCACGGGUGCGUAACGCGUGGGAAUCUGCCCUUGGGUUCGGAAUAACUUCGGGAAACUGAAGCUAAUACCGGAUGAUGACGUAAGUCCAAAGAUUUAUCGCCCAGGGAUGAGCCCGCGUAGGAUCAGCUAGUUGGUGAGGUAAAGGCUCACCAAGGCUACGAUCCUUAGCUGGUCUGAGAGGAUGAUCAGCCACACUGGGACUGAGACACGGCCCAGACUCCUACGGGAGGCAGCAGUAGGGAAUAUUGGACAAUGGGGGCAACCCUGAUCCAGCAAUGCCGCGUGAGCGAUGAAGGCCUUAGGGUUGUGAAGCUCUUUUACCCGGGAUGAUAAUGACAGUACCGGGAGAAUAAGCCCCGGCUAACUCCGUGCCAGCAGCCGCCGUAACAC
rnacentral:rRNA from 1 species